rnacentral:rRNA from 1 species
CCUACGGGAGGCUGCAGUGGGGAAUAUUGCGCAAUGGGCGAAAGCCUGACGCAGCGACGCCGCGUGAGGGAUGCAGGUCUUCGGAUCGUACACCUCUGUCAGCAGGGAAGAACGGUCACUGUGCUAAUCAGCAGUGAAUUGACGGUACCUGCAAAGGAAGCACCGGCUACCUCCGUGCCAGCAGCCGCGGUAAUACGGAGGGUGCGAGCGUUAAUCGGAAUUACUGGGCGUAAAGCGAUCGUAGGCUGUAUGUCAAGUCAAGGGUGAAAUCCCCGCGCUCAACGUGGGAACUGCCUUUGAUACUGGCAAACUGGAGUGUGUGAGAGGAUAGUGGAAUGCCAGGUGUAGGAGUGAAAUCCGUAGAUAUCUGGAGGAACAUCAGUGGCGAAGGCGACUAUCUGGCACAUAACUGACGCUGAGGAGCGAAAGCGUGGGUAGCAAACAGGAUUAGAUACCCUUGUAGUC